UACGAUGGGGGCAAGCGUUGUUCGGAUUUAUUGGGCGUAAAGCGUGCGCAGGCGGUUCGCUAAGACAGAUGUGAAAUCCCCGGGCUUAACCUGGGAACUGCAUUUGUGACUGGCGGGCUAGAGUAUGGCAGAGGGGGGUAGAAUUCCACGUGUAGCAGUGAAAUGCGUAGAGAUGUGGAGGAAUACCGAUGGCGAAGGCAGCCCCCUGGGCCAAUACUGACGCUCAUGCACGAAAGCGUGGGGAGCAAACAGG
rnacentral:rRNA from 1 species